UUUUAGAAAGAAAGGCCAUUUGGAAGUGAUGACAAGGAACAAUUCUUCUGGACUCCAGAGGGAUAUUUAUUCCUGGGAUCCAGCACUGAUCUGGGGGUGAACAAUCUGUGAUUUCAUGUGCCGCAAGGAAAAGAAAUUAAAUAACUUUUGACUAACAUGAGACAAGAAGAGAGACCUUCAUUUCCUUCCCAUCCUGAUCUGUGUUUCCCACACCACCAAAAAAAUGCCAGGUCGAUACCUUCGAUUGACCGAUUGAAAAUUGGAUUGAUCGAGUCCUUCGCCGUGGAUGUGUCCAGCUCAGAUUCCUAAAUCUUUCAGCCCCAAGGUGACCAGACACCCGCAAAAGCCAACCCCGCAGAGGCUCGAGCCACGGAAAGGUGGCAGUCUGCCACCUGGCACCCACAGACGGAGGGCCGGGCCUUCCUCUGGAGAGACCCCGGGUGGCCACCGCUCUCAGCAUCCGCCCCGUCGGCCGGGCCUCCACUCUUUAUCAU